UCACAGAAGAAGGGUGUGGUUAGCACUACCUGGGAAAACUUCACAAAGGAGGUGGUGUUUGAGUGAAGUCUUGAGGUCCCCAGGGCUGCUUACCGGGCAGUGUGGAUGGCAUGCAGUGGGAUGGUGAAGGAUGGGGCCAGAGGAAGGAAGGACAUGCCCGCCCAGCCGUGUUUGGGAUGCUGCCUCCCUGGAGAGGGGUCAUGAAGCCUAGCAGGCAGUGGAGCCCAGGGUCCUUGAAGGUGUGCGCUGAAUCUCCAGGACUCAGCCUAGUGUAUAUUUUUGUGGAGUGAAG
rnacentral:lncRNA from 1 species